rnacentral:rRNA from 1 species
GACGAACGCUGGCGGCGUGCUUAACACAUGCAAGUCGAACGGAAAGGCCCUGCUUUUGUGGGGUGCUCGAGUGGCGAACGGGUGAGUAACACGUGAGUAACCUGCCCUUGACUUUGGGAUAACUUCAGGAAACUGGGGCUAAUACCGGAUAGGAGCUCCUGCUGCAUGGUGGGGGUUGGAAAGUUUCGGCGGUUGGGGAUGGACUCGCGGCUUAUCAGCUUGUUGGUGGGGUAGUGGCUUACCAAGGCUUUGACGGGUAGCCGGCCUGAGAGGGUGACCGGCCACAUUGGGACUGAGAUACGGCCCAGACUCCUACGGGAGGCAGCAGUGGGGAAUAUUGCACAAUGGGCGGAAGCCUGAUGCAGCAACGCCGCGUGCGGGAUGACGGCCUUCGGGUUGUAAACCGCUUUCGCCUGUGACGAAGCGUGAGUGACGGUAAUGGGUAAAGAAGCACCGGCUAACUACGUGCCAGCAGCCGCGGUGAUACGUAGGGUGCGAGCGUUGUCCGGAUUUAUUGGGCGUAAAGGGCUCGUAGGUGGUUGAUCGCGUCGGAAGUGUAAUCUUGGGGCUUAACCCUGAGCGUGCUUUCGAUACGGGUUGACUUGAGGAAGGUAGGGGAGAAUGGAAUUCCUGGUGGAGCGGUGGAAUGCGCAGAUAUCAGGAGGAACACCAGUGGCGAAGGCGGUUCUCUGGGCCUUUCCUGACGCUGAGGAGCGAAAGCGUGGGGAGCGAACAGGCUUAGAUACCCUGGUAGUCCACGCUGUAAACGGUGGGUACUAGGUGUGGGGUCCAUUCCACGGGUUCCGUGCCGUAGCUAACGCUUUAAGUACCCCGCCUGGGGAGUACGGCCGCAAGGCUAAAACUCAAAGGAAUUGACGGGGCCCCGCACAAGCGGCGGAGCAUGCGGAUUAAUUCGAUGCAACGCGUAGAACCUUACCUGGGUUUGACAUGGAUCGGGAGUGCUCAGAGAUGGGUGUGCCUCUUUUGGGGUCGGUUCACAGGUGGUGCAUGGCUGUCGUCAGCUCGCGUCGUGAGAUGUUGGGUUAAGUCCCGCAACGAGCGCAACCCUUGUUCACUGUUGCCAGCACGUUAUGGUGGGGACUCAGUGGAGACCGCCGGGGUCAACUCGGAGGAAGGUGGGGAUGACGUCAAGUCAUCAUGCCCCUUAUGUCCAGGGCUUCACGCAUGCUACAAUGGCUGGUACAGAGAGUGGCGAGCCUGUGAGGGUGAGCGAAUCUCGGAAAGCCGGUCUCAGUUCGGAUUGGGGUCUGCAACUCGACCUCAUGAAGUCGGAGUCGCUAGUAAUCGCAGAUCAGCAACGCUGCGGUGAAUACGUUCCCGGGGCUUGUACACACCGCCCGUCAAGUCAUGAAAGUUGGUAACACCCGAAGCCGGUGGCCUAACCGUUGUGGGGGAGCCGUCGAAGGUGGGACUGGUGAUUAGG